rnacentral:rRNA from 1 species
UACGUAGGGAGCAAGCGUUGUCCGGAAUCAUUGGGCGUAAAGCGCGCGUAGGUGGUCCCGUAAGUCCGCUGUGAAAGUCAAAGGCUCAACCUUUGAAAGCCGGUGGAUACUGUGGGACUAGAGUCCGGAAGAGGAGAGUGGAAUUCCUGGUGUAGCGGUGAAAUGCGCAGAUAUCAGGAGGAACACCGGUGGCGAAGGCGGGUCUCUGGGCCGUAACUGACGCUGAGGAGCGAAAGCAUGGGGAGCAAACAGG